rnacentral:rRNA from 1 species
GCUCGUAGUCGGAUGUCGGGCUCGGGCAAGCUGUCGGCCUUUGGUCGGACGGCAGGCUCGGGUCUUUCUGCCUGAGGAACCCGCUUGCUUUAACCGGCUGGCGGUGGACGCAGGUCGUUUACUUUGAAAAAAUUAGAGUGUUCAAAGCAGGCUAGCGCUUGAAUACAUUAGCAUGGAAUAAUGGAAUAGGACUUUGGUGCUAUUUUGUUGGUUUAUGGGACCGAAGUAAUGAUUAACAGGGACAGUUGGGGCCGUUUAUAUUUCGUUGUCAGAGGUGAAAUUCUUGGAUUUACGAAAGAUAAACUUCUGCGAAAGCAUUCGGCAAGGAUGUUUUCAUUGAUCAAGAACGAAAGUUAGGGGAUCGAAGACGAUCAGAUACCGUCGUAGUCUUAACCAUAAACUAUGCCGACUAGGGAUCAGUGGAUGUCAAUUUGCGACUCCAUUGGCACCUUGUGAGAAAUCAAAGUUUUUGGGUUCCGGGGGGAGUAUGGUCGCAAGGCUGAAACUUAAAGGAAUUGACGGAAGGGCACCACCAGGAGUGGAGCCUGCGGCUUAAUUUGACUCAGCACGGGGAAACUUACCAGGUCCAGACAUAGUAAGGAUUGACAGAUUGAAAGCUCUUUCUUGAUUCUAUGGGUGGUGGUGCAUGGCCGUUCUUAGUUGGUGGAGUGAUUUGUCUGGGUAAUUCCGUUAACGAACGAGACCUCAGCCUGCUAACUAGAUUCGCCAAUAUGAUUGGCGCAUCUUCUUAGAGGGACUAUUUGUGUUUAAUGAAUGG